rnacentral:rRNA from 1 species
GAUAAACGCUGGCGGCGUGCCUAAUACAUGCAAGUCGAACGCCGGACACCUAGCUUGCUAGGGAGAAGGAGUGGCGAACGGGUGAGUAAUACAUAAGCAAUCUGCCCACAAAGACUGGGAUAACCUCUGGAAACGGGGACUAAUACCGGAUAGGUAGGAGAGAGGCAUCUUUCUUCUAUUAAAGAUGAGAAGCACUAGUGGAUGAGCUUAUGGCGCAUUAGUUAGUUGGUGAGGUAACCGCCCACCAAGACGAUGAUGCGUAGCCGGCCUGAGAGGGUGAACGGCCACAUUGGGACUGAGACACGGCCCAGACUCCUACGGGAGGCAGCAGUGUAGGGAAUUUUCGGCAAUGGGGGGAACCCUGACCGAGCAACGCCGCGUGAGUGAAGACGGCCUUCGGGUUGUAAAGCUCUGUUGUAAGAAAAGAUAAACUAGGAGAGGAUCUUAGUCAGACAUU